rnacentral:rRNA from 1 species
GUUGUAUGGUUAAGUGACUAAGCGUACACGGUGGAUGCCUUGGCAGUCAGAGGCGAUGAAAGACGUAGUAACUUGCGAUAAGCCCAGAUUAGGUAGUAACAACCAUUUGAGUCUGGGAUUUCUGAAUGGGGAAACCCACGUGCAUAAGCACGUAUCCUUACCUGAAUACAUAGGGUAAGGAGGCGAACCGGGGGAACUGAAACAUCUAAGUACCCGAGGAAAAGAAAUCAACCGAGAUUCCGAAAGUAGCGGCGAGCGAAAUUGGACUAGCCCUUAAGCUUUACACGCGUUAGACGAACGGUCUGGAAAGUCCGACGAUACAGGGUGAUAGUCCCGUAGUUGACGACGUGUGUUCAGUGAAAUCGAGUAGGGCGGGACACGUGAUAUCCUGUCUGAAUAUGGGGGGACCAUCCUCCAAGGCUAAAUACUACUGACUGACCGAUAGUGAACCAGUACCGUGAGGGAAAGGCGAAAAGAACCCCUGUGAGGGGAGUGAAAUAGAACCUGAAACCGUGUACGUACAAGCAGUAGGAGCAGGCUUUGUCCUGUGACUGCGUACCUUUUGUAUAAUGGGUCAGCGACUUAUAUUCAGUGGCAAGGUUAACCAUCUAGGGGAGCCGUAGGGAAACCGAGUCUUAACUGGGCGUUCAGUCUCUGGAUAUAGACCCGAAACCAGGUGAUCUAGCCAUGGGCAGGUUGAAGGUUGAGUAACAUCAACUGGAGGACCGAACCGACUAAUGUUGAAAAAUUAGCGGAUGACUUGUGGCUAGGGGUGAAAGGCCAAUCAAACCUGGAGAUAGCUGGUUCUCCCCGAAAGCUAUUUAGGUAGCGCCUCGGACGAAUACUACUGGGGGUAGAGCACUGUUAAGGCUAGGGGGUCAUCCCGACUUACCAACCCUUUGCAAACUCCGAAUACCAGUAAGUACUAUCCGGGAGACACACGGCGGGUGCUAACGUCCGUCGUGGAGAGGGAAACAACCCAGACCGCCAGCUAAGGUCCCAAAUUACUACUAAGUGGGAAACGAUGUGGGAAGGCUCAGACAGCCAGGAUGUUGGCUUAGAAGCAGCCAUCAUUUAAAGAAAGCGUAAUAGCUCACUGGUCGAGUCGGCCUGCGCGGAAGAUGUAACGGGGCUAAGUAGUAAACCGAAGCUGCGGCAAUGUGCUUUUGCACAUUGGGUAGGGGAGCGUUCUGUAAGCGGUUGAAGGUGUGUGGUAACGCAUGCUGGACGUAUCAGAAGUGCGAAUGCUGACAUGAGUAACGAUAAAGGGGGUGAAAAACCUCCUCGCCGGAAGACCAAGGGUUCCUGUCCAACGUUAAUCGGGGCAGGGUAAGUCGACCCCUAAGGCGAGGCCGAAAGGCGUAGUCGAUGGGAAACGGGUUAAUAUUCCCGUACUUCUUACAAUUGCGAUGGGGGGACGGAGAAGGCUAGGUGGGCCUGGCGACGGUUGUCCAGGUUCAAGUGCGUAGGCUUAAGAGUUAGGUAAAUCCGGCUCUUUCUAAGGCUGAGACACGACGUCGAGCUACUACGGUAGUGAAGUCAUUGAUGCCAUGCUUCCAGGAAAAGCCUCUAAGCUUCAGAUUGUAAGGAAUCGUACCCCAAACCGACACAGGUGGUCGGGUAGAGAAUACCAAGGCGCUUGAGAGAACUCGGGUGAAGGAACUAGGCAAAAUGGUACCGUAACUUCGGGAGAAGGUACGCUCUCGACGGUGAAGUCCCUCGCGGAUGGAGCUAUUGAGAGUCGCAGAUACCAGGUGGCUGCAACUGUUUAUUAAAAACACAGCACUGUGCAAAAUCGUAAGAUGACGUAUACGGUGUGACGCCUGCCCGGUGCCGGAAGGUUAAUUGAUGGGGUUAGACUUCGGUCGAAGCUCUUGAUCGAAGCCCCGGUAAACGGCGGCCGUAACUAUAACGGUCCUAAGGUAGCGAAAUUCCUUGUCGGGUAAGUUCCGACCUGCACGAAUGGCGUAAUGAUGGCCACGCUGUCUCCACCCGAGACUCAGUGAAAUUGAAAUCGCUGUGAAGAUGCAGUGUACCCGCGGCUAGACGGAAAGACCCCGUGAACCUUUACUACAGCUUGGCACUGAACAUUGACCCUACAUGUGUAGGAUAGGUGGGAGGCUUUGAAGACGGUACGCCAGUAUCGUUGGAGCCGUCCUUGAAAUACCACCCUUGUAGUGUUGAUGUUCUAACGUUGACCCCUUAUCGGGGUUACGGACAGUGCCUGGUGGGUAGUUUGACUGGGGCGGUCUCCUCCCAAAGAGUAACGGAGGAGCACGAAGGUGGGCUAAUCACGGUUGGACAUCGUGAGGUUAGUGCAAUGGCAUAAGCCCGCUUGACUGCGAGAAUGACAAUUCGAGCAGGUGCGAAAGCAGGUCAUAGUGAUCCGGUGGUUCUGAAUGGAAGGGCCAUCGCUCAACGGAUAAAAGGUACUCCGGGGAUAACAGGCUGAUACCGCCCAAGAGUUCAUAUCGACGGCGGUGUUUGGCACCUCGAUGUCGGCUCAUCACAUCCUGGGGCUGAAGUCGGUCCCAAGGGUAUGGCUGUUCGCCAUUUAAAGUGGUACGCGAGCUGGGUUUAGAACGUCGUGAGACAGUUCGGUCCCUAUCUGCCGUGGGCGUUGGAAGAUUGAAGGGGGCUGCUCCUAGUACGAGAGGACCGGAGUGGACGAACCUCUGGUGUUCGGGUUGUGUCGCCAGACGCAUUGCCCGGUAGCUAAGUUCGGAAUCGAUAACCGCUGAAAGCAUCUAAGCGGGAAGCGAGCCCUGAGAUGAGUCUUCCCUGAUACUUUAAGUAUCCUAAAGGGUUGUCGGAGACUACGACGUUGAUAGGUCAGGUGUGUAAGUGCUGUGAGGCAUUGAGCUAACUGAUACUAAUUGCCCGUGAGGCUUAACCAUACAACACCCAAGGGGUUU